CCUACGGGAGGCAGCAGUGGGGAAUUUUGGACAAUGGGCGCAAGCCUGAUCCAGCAAUGCCGCGUGAGUGAAGAAGGCCUUCGGGUUGUAAAGCUCUUUUGUCAGGGAAGAAACGGUGGAGGUUAAUACCUUCUGCUAAUGACGGUACCUGAAGAAUAAGCACCGGCUAACUACGUGCCAGCAGCCGCGGUAAUACGUAGGGUGCAAGCGUUAAUCGGAAUUACUGGGCGUAAAGCGUGCGCAGGCGGUUGUGCAAGACAGAUGUGAAAUCCCCGGGCUCAACCUGGGAAUUGCAUUUGUGACUGUACGGCUAGAGUGUGUCAGAGGGGGGUAGAAUUCCACGUGUAGCAGUGAAAUGCGUAGAGAUGUGGAGGAAUACCGAUGGCGAAGGCAGCCCCCUGGGAUAACACUGACGCUCAUGCACGAAAGCGUGGGGAGCAAACAGGAUUAGAUACCCUGGUAGUCCACGCCCUAAACGAUGUCUACUAGUUGUCGGGUCUUUAUUGACUUGGUAACGCAGCUAACGCGUGAAGUAGACCGCCUGGGGAGUACGGUCGCAAGNUUAAAACUUAAAUGAAUUGACCGG
rnacentral:rRNA from 1 species